GAAUCUUCCACAAUGGACGAAAGUCUGAUGGAGCAAUGCCGCGUGAGCGAAGAAGGUUUUCGGAUCGUAAAGCCCUGUUGUAAGGGAAGAACACGUACGGGAGUAACUGCCCGUACCUUGACGGUACCUUAUUAGAAAGCCACGGCUAACUACGUGCCACCAGCCGCGGUAAUACGUAGGCGGCAACGGUUGUCGGGAAUUAUUGGGCGUAAAGCGAGCGCAGGCGGCCUGUGAAGUCUGAUGUGAAAGCCCCCGGCUCAACCGGGGAAGGUCAUUGGAAACUGAUAGGCUUGAGUACAGAAGAGGAAAGCGGAAUUCCACGUGUAGCGGUGAAAUGCGUAGAGAUGUGGAGGAACACCAGUGGCGAAGGCGGCUUUCUGGUCUGUAACUGACGCUGAGGCGCGAAAGCGUGGGGAGCAAACA
rnacentral:rRNA from 1 species